rnacentral:rRNA from 1 species
AUUAGAUACCCUGGUAGUCCACGCCGCUAAACUAUGGAUGCUAGCUGUUAUUCGUAUCGACCCGAGUAGUAGCGAAGCUAACGCGUUAAGCAUCCCGCCUGUGGAGUACGGUCGCAAGACUAAAACAUAAAGGAAUUGACGGGGACCCGCACAAGCGGUGGAGCGUGUUGUUUAAUUCGAUGGUAAGCGAAGAACCUUACCCAGACUUGACAUCCUUGGAAGCACUGCGAAAGCAGAGUGUGCCUCCGGGAACCAAGUGACAGGUGUUGCAUGGCCGUCGUCAGCUCGUGUCGUGAGAUGUUUGGUUAAGUCCAUCAACGAGCGCAACCCUUGUGGCUAGUUGAAUUUUUCUAGUCAGACUGCCCUGGUAACAGGGAGGAAGGAGGGGAUGAUGUCAGGUCAGUAUUACCCUUACGUCUGGGGCUACAAACACGCUACAAUGGCCGGUACAAAGGGCUGCCAAGUCGCGAGACGGAGCAAAUCCCAUCAAAACCGGUCCCAGUUCGGAUUGCAGGCUGAAACUCGCCUGCAUGAAGUCGGAAUCGCUAGUAACGGUAGGUCAGCACACUACCGUGA